GGGACCUUAGUUCAGUUGGUUAGAACGCACCGCUCAUAACGGUGUUGUCGUAGGUUCAAGUCCUGCAGGUCCCACCA
rnacentral:tRNA from 1 species